ensembl:lincRNA
AUGCUAGCUAAGCGCUAUGUGGAAACAGCAACAUAAGGGAUCAGAGAGUGUGCGCGUGUGCGAUGGGGAUGGGGGUGCUGGUCGCACCAGGCCCCCUGCAGGAGAGAUGGAGAGGAGGGGACGAAUUUGAGACAUGCUUAGGACUGAGGAACAAUAGGGCUCAAACAUUAGGGGCACAAACUCCGGACUCUUGGCCGCGCAGGUGGGAGCGUGAUAACUGUGCUGGGAGCGUAGAGGCUCGCCAACAGCGCCGCCUGGGGCAGAGGCCAUGGGACGCCCGCCUCGGAGUCACUUACCUUCUGGAGUCAGGGCGGCAGGUAGGAAGGUCCCCUUCUGGGUCACGCUGGGAGGGAACUGGGGAGCCGAGGCAGACGGAAGGUCCGAUCUUAGAGGCGGGAAACUAGAGGGGCCUUAGGCGACAGGGACGGCCCCGCCCCACUCUCCCCGGCGGGAAGGCGGGUUCAGGUCCCCCGCCCCUACGCACCAGUCACCAGCCCAGUGACACCUCCUUCUUGGGGUCUUGGCCCCAGGAAUUCCUUCCUGGGCACUGCCGCGCGGCUCGGCGCGGGGUUGCCCUGCUUUUCAUUCCAGGAGACUGGACAAAUGCGGGGACGGGGCGAGGGGCCGAGGUUCACCUCGGAAUUUCAGGGCCCGUCUGGAAACCAGGCAACGCCUUCGCUUGUCUUCGAAGCUUUGGGCCGGGGGCCGGGUCUGAGGACCGCGAGCGGAGCGGGCAGAGUCGACACCCCAGACGAUUGGAUUCGCACCCGCGCAACGUCCGCAAUUCACGAUGUGAAGGUCCGCAGGGAGACACGCGUAGGGGAGGAUCUGCUGGCAUCGAGAUUGCUUUCGCCCUACGGCCCGGGUGGCGGGCGUAGUGGAGAGCAGGCACCUGGAAAUCAGGGUGUCCUUACUGUAUCUUACGACUGCUCGAGGAUGCAGCUCCGGCAACGCGAUGGAAAGAAAAGAUCCUCAACAAAAACGUUCUGCGUUGGCCGGGAAUCGAACCCGGGUCAACUGCUUGGAAGGCAGCUAUGCUCACCACUAUACCACCAACGCCGCUGUACCGCCUCUCUUUCCCCCACUCUAUUCGAGGCGUCUAAGUCCCCUCCUGAGAGCCUGGCUACGACCAUCCACAGACGAGAAAAUCAAGGUCCAGGUAAACUAACUACCGGGACUCUCUGAACACCGGCAGAACCGAGAUUAAAUCCAAGAUUUGUCAAGGGUCCGGAAAUAGCGACGAGACCGUGAUGAUUUAUUAUCGCCAGGAAAAAAGUCCCAAAUACAUAAAACUUAAAAUUUGCUUCUCCGUCGAGUGGGUCAACCUGGUCACGAGGUUAACAGAUUGCGCCUUAAAUCAAGAGCGCCUAAGCACAAUAUGGCCCUCGUGGUCAUUUAUCCGGGAGAGUUAGAGUUAAGCCAUGAGUUAAAUUCUUACCUGCGCCAGCAUCUUAUCUGCUCUAAGUUCCGGGACCCACGCAAAACCGUAGGGAGGGAGCCUGAAGGCAGGGGGUCCGCCUCUUUGAUGACGCAACUUCUACUCAGGAACUUGCAGAGCCUGCUGGUCGAAGGGGCCUCGUGGCGCAACGGCAGCGCGUCUGACUCCAGAUCAGAAGGUUGCGUGUUCAAAUCACGUCGGGGUCAAGAGCUACGUUUUGGGUGUCAAUUGUUUCAUAUUACCCUUUUAGAAGUGAGGUGAAAAAAAAAUCAUUUUCAAUAUAAAGAAAAUACGAACCUGACUGUGUGCAUUUUUUCCUAAAGUAUAAGCAUUUUUUUCUAAAAUACAAAUUUUCGAAACUUUUAUUCUCAUUUUACUGUGUGCAUCAAAGCAGUCAAUUAAAAUAGCAAUCUAAUCUCAAAAAUAUUUGCAUACCCUAACACAGACGUUGUUAAUGAACAGUCCCCAGUUCUUGUUCAGAAAAUGUAACUGCAGCAAAUAAAUUUUCUUUAUUGGAGAGAUAUAAUAAUAGUUAAUAAAUUUUAACUAUUACAAUCAUUUUCCUAAGCCAUUGUUUUUUGUGUUUUGUUUUGUUCUGUUUCCCAGCAGUUUAACUUCCACUUGCCAGUAGUGUCUAUAAUCUUGUUCUUCACUAUUUUCACUUAUCAUUGUAAUAUAAAUAUUCUUCUAGUCUUUAUAAGUAUGAGUUUAAUGACCAUCUAAAAUUGGAG